rnacentral:rRNA from 1 species
CGGGUGCCUAAUACUUGCAAGUCGAGCGGACAGAUGGGAGCUUGCUCCCUGAUGUUAGCGGCGGACGGGUGAGUAACACGUGGGUAACCUGCCUGUAAGACUGGGAUAACUCCGGGAAACCGGGGCUAAUACCGGAUGGUUGUUUGAACCGCAUGGUUCAAACAUAAAAGGUGGCUUCGGCUACCACUUACAGAUGGACCCGCGGCGCAUUAGCUAGUUGGUGAGGUAACGGCUCACCAAGGCAACGAUGCGUAGCCGACCUGAGAGGGUGAUCGGCCACACUGGGACUGAGACACGGCCCAGACUCCUACGGGAGGCAGCAGUAGGGAAUCUUCCGCAAUGGACGAAAGUCUGACGGAGCAACGCCGCGUGAGUGAUGAAGGUUUUCGGAUCGUAAAGCUCUGUUGUUAGGGAAGAACAAGUACCGUUCGAAUAGGGCGGUACCUUGACGGUACCUAACCAGAAAGCCACGGCUAACUACGUGCCAGCAGCCGCGGUAAUACGUAGGUGGCAAGCGUUGUCCGGAAUUAUUGGGCGUAAAGGGCUCGCAGGCGGUUUCUUAAGUCUGAUGUGAAAGCCCCCGGCUCAACCGGGGAGGGUCAUUGGAAACUGGGGAACUUGAGUGCAGAAGAGGAGAGUGGAAUUCCACGUGUAGCGGUGAAAUGCGUAGAGAUGUGGAGGAACACCAGUGGCGAAGGCGACUCUCUGGUCUGUAACUGACGCUGAGGAGCGAAAGCGUGGGGAGCGAACAGGAUUAGAUACCCUGGUAGUCCACGCCGUAAACGAUGAGUGCUAAGUGUUAGGGGGUUUCCGCCCCUUAGUGCUGCAGCUAACGCAUUAAGCACUCCGCCUGGGGAGUACGGUCGCAAGACUGAAACUCAAAGGAAUUGACGGGGGCCCGCACAAGCGGUGGAGCAUGUGGUUUAUUCCUAAGCACGCGAAGACCUUACCAGUCUUGACAUCCUCUGACAUUCUAGAGAUAGGACGUCCCCUUCCGGGGCAGAGUGACAGGUG